GACGAACGCUGGCGGCGUGCUUAACACAUGCAAGUCGAACGGAAAGGCCCCUUUGGGGGUACUCGAGUGGCGAACGGGUGAGUAACACGUGAGUAACCUGCCCUUGACUUCGGGAUAACUUCAGGAAACUGGGGCUAAUACCGGAUAGGAAUCCUUGCUGCAUGGUGGGGGUUGGAAAGCUUCGGCGGUUUUGGAUGGACUCGCGGCUUAUCAGCUUGUUGGUGGGGUAGUGGCUUACCAAGGCUUUGACGGGUAGCCGGCCUGAGAGGGCGACCGGCCACAUUGGGACUGAGAUACGGCCCAGACUCCUACGGGAGGCAGCAGUGGGGAAUAUUGCACAAUGGGCGGAAGCCUGAUGCAGCAACGCCGCGUGCGGGGUGACGGCCUUCGGGUUGUAAACCGCUUUCAGCAGGGGCGAAGCUUUUGUGACGGUACCUGCAGAAGAAGCACCGGCUAACUACGUG
rnacentral:rRNA from 1 species